GCGUCCAUUGUCUAAUGGAUAGUACAAAGGUCUUCUAAACUGUUGGUAUAGGUUCAAAUCUUGUUGGACGCA
rnacentral:tRNA from 2 species